GUAAUUAAUGUAGAAAUGAGUUAACCUUGUAGCUAAGUAAUAAAAGUGCCCUUUAUUUGAGAGUUCACCGCCUCAUCAAGGCCAUAUACGGACAACCUUCCAUGAGACAUUAAAAACAUUUUCUUCAAUAUUAAGAUGGAUGUAGCGUUUUUGCUCCAGCUAUUGGCAGACAAGAUUUCUCUCCUCUUCUUCAAGAGCUUCAAAGCAAGGUGAACUGUACUCUAUAAUGAAGUAAAAUAUCGGGGAAGCUUUUACGAAGGUGAUCCAAGUAUGAUCCUUAGUCUGCGACCUUCUACGAGCUCGUAUGAGCAAUAAAAGAUUUUGGAGGAAACGGGACUUGAAUUUGGAUAGGCGUAAAAGGCAAAUAAGGUACAGACGAUCGAUUUGUUGAUCCGCCCGCUUAGGAUUCUAUUCUGCUAUCUUGGAGUGCUCCUUUGUCCGGAGCCUAUAUUUUGGGUACAGACUCUUCUGUUGCACAUAUGUAUGUUAUUCAGGGGUAUGACGGGGCCCUGUCCCGUCUUAUGAUCUGUUUGUUGUUCGUAGAGGUCUGCAGACAUACAUGUGGGUUGUGUAUAUGUUUUGGGUUGCUAUGUUCUAUGAUAGCCUUAUCGGCUUCUGUGCGAUAUGUCUGUUUGUCUGCGAUAAUUAGUAAAGCCAUUCGACUUCUGUAUAUGUAUAUUCUGCUUAUAUUCUAGUUUGGGUUAUAGGGUACGUAUGGGUGUCCAGCACGGACACUAGUCGCGGCCUACGGGGUUGGGUCGUGACACUUAUGGCACCUGAAAAAGCGUCUAUCGGGGUUAUUUGGAGUCCACGAAGUCAAAUGGAGUGCAACAACUCCACAACCACAAACCCGACCAGUUGACGAGCUCGAAUUUUCAGACAUUUCAA